rnacentral:rRNA from 1 species
AGUGAACGCUGGCGGUAGGCCUAACACAUGCAAGUCGAACGGCAGCACAGGAGAGCUUGCUCUCUAGGUGGCGAGUGGCGGACGGGUGAGGAAUACAUCGGAAUCUGCCCAGUCGUGGGGGAUAACGUAGGGAAACUUACGCUAAUACCGCAUACGACCUUCGGGCGAAAGAGGGGGAUCGCAAGACCUCUCGCGAUUGGAUGAGCCGAUGUCGGAUUAGCUAGUUAGCGGGGUAAUGGCCCACCAAGGCGACGAUCCGUAGCUGGUCUGAGAGGAUGAUCAGCCACACUGGAACUGAGACACGGUCCAGACUCCUACGGGAGGCAGCAGUGGGGAAUAUUGGACAAUGGGCGCAAGCCUGAUCCAGCCAUACCGCGUGGGUGAAGAAGGCCUUCGGGUUGUAAAGCCCUUUUGUUGGGAAAGAAAUCUUUCAGGCUAAUACCCUGGGAGGAUGACGGUACCCAAAGAAUAAGCACCGGCUAACUUCGUG